GCGGGAGUAGCUAAGCCUGGACAACGGCGCAGGACUUAAGAUUCUGUCUCAUAGGAGUCCGGGGGUUCAAAUCCCCUCUCCCGCA
rnacentral:tRNA from 1 species